UGGGGAAUAUUGGACAAUGGGGGCAACCCUGAUCCAGCCAUGCCGCGUGAGUGAUGAAGGCCUUAGGGUUGUAAAGCUCUUUCGCCGGUGAAGAUAAUGACGGUAACCGGUAAAGAAGCCCCGGCUAACUCCGUGCCAGCAGCCGCGGUAAUACGGAGGAUGCAAGCGUUAUCCGGAAUGAUUGGGCGUAAAGCGUGUGCAGGUGGCUAUGCAAGUCUGCUGUUAAAGAGUGGAGCUCAACUCCAUAAGGGCAGUGGAAACUGCGUAACUAGAGUACGUUCGGGGUAGAGGGAAUUCCUGGUGUAGCGGUGAAAUGCGUAGAUAUCAGGAAGAACACCGGUGGCGAAAGCGCUCUACUAGGCCGUAACUGACACUGAGAGACGAAAGCUAAGGGAGCGAAUGGGAUUAGAUACCCCGGUAGUCC
rnacentral:rRNA from 1 species